rnacentral:rRNA from 1 species
GGAAGGAGAAGUCGUAACAAGGUUUCCGUAGGUGAACCUGCGGAAGGAUCAUUGUCGAAGCCUACUGAGUAGAUUGACUUGGGAACUUGUGAAAAAAUAUCAAAUCUAAGUGCGUUUUGGUUGUGCUUUUUUGCGCCAUCAUGACGAGCAACAAACCCCCGGCGCGGGAUGCGCCAAGGAAUACAUAUUUGAGAUUGCUACUCUCUCAUGCUCCGUUUGCGGUUGUAUGGGAAGUAGUGGCAUCUUUAUUAAAAAAUGACUCUCGGCAACGGAUAUCUCGGCUCUCGCAUCGAUGAAGAACGUAGCGAAAUGCGAUACUUGGUGUGAAUUGCAGAAUCCCGUGAACCAUCGAGUCUUUGAACGCAAGUUGCACCCGAAGCCAUCAGGCUUAGGGCACGUCUGCCUGGGUGUCACGCAACACAUCGCCCCCCUCUUAGUUUGUUGGGGGAGCGGAUCUUGACCUCCCGUGCCCAACUUGUGGUGUGGAAGGGCCAAAUGUUUGAUGCGGGCAAUGGAUGUACUGGCGAUUGGUGGUUGUACCUAGAGUGCAUAACAUCGUUCCUGUGCGCCAUUGUUUGUGGAUGCUAGACCCCUCUGAGCCAGAGUGAUUUGGUUAACGAAUUGCGAUCCCAGGUCAGUCGGGAUUACCCGCUGAGUUUAAGCAUAUCAAUAAGCGGAGGAA